rnacentral:rRNA from 1 species
AGGAUAAACGCUGGCGGCGUGCCUAACACAUGCAAGUCGAACGUCUCUUCUUUCGGGAAGAGGAGUGGCGGACGGGUGAGGAACACGUGGGAACCUGCCCUUCAGUGAGGAAUACCGGCGAGAAAUCGCCGACAAGACCGCAUAGCCCUCUCUGGUGAGAGCCAGAGAAGGAAAGCUUCGCAAGAGGCGCUGGAGGAGGGGCCUGCGUCCGAUUAGCUAGUUGGUGGGGUAAGAGCCUACCAAGGCGUCGAUCGGUAGCUGGUCUGAGAGGACGAUCAGCCACACUGGGAUUGAGAACGGCCCAGACUCCUACGGGGGGCAGCAGUGAGGAAUUUUCGGCAAUGGGGGAAACCCUGACCGAGCAACGCCGCGUGCAGGAAGACGGCCUCGGUUGUAAACUGCUUUCUUUGGACGAGCAAGGACGGUACCAGAGGAAUCAGCCCGGCUCACUACGUGCCAGCAGCCGC